GCAAGUCGAGCGGUAACAUUUCUAGCUUGCUAGAAGAUGACGAGCGGCGGACGGGUGAGUAAUGCUUGGGAAUAUGCCGAGUGGUGGGGGACAACAGUUGGAAACGACUGCUAAUACCGCAUAAUGUCUACGGACCAAAGGGGGGGCUUCUUCGGAACCUCCCGCCAUUUGAUUAGCCCAAGUGAGAUUAGCUAGUAGGUGAGGUAAUGGCUCACCUAGGCGACGAUCUCUAGCUGGUUUGAGAGGAUGAUC
rnacentral:rRNA from 1 species